GGGGGGGGGGGGGGGGGGGCGGGGGGGGUGCAGGGGGGGCGGGGGGGCCGGGCGGUGGGGGGGUGCUCGAGGGGCGAACGGGUGGGUAACACGUGGGUAACCUGCCCUUGACGUUGGGAUAACUUCAGGAAACUGGGGCUAAUACCGGAUAGGAGCUCCUGCUGCAUGGUGGGGGUUGGAAAGUUUCGGCGGUUGGGGAUGGACUCGCGGCUUAUCAGCUUGUUGGUGGGGUAGUGGCUUACCAAGGCUUUGACGGGUAGCCGGCCUGAGAGGGUGACCGGCCACAUUGGAACUGAGAUACGGCCCAGACUCCUACGGGAGGCAGCAGUGGGGAAUAUUGCACAAUGGGCGGAAGCCUGAUGCAGCAACGCCGCGUGCGGGAUGACGGCCUUCGGGUUGUAAACCGCUUUCGCCUGUGACGAAGCGUGAGUGACGGUAAUGGGUAAAGAAGCACCGGCUAACUACGUG
rnacentral:rRNA from 1 species